UAAUACGUAGGGCGCAAGCGUUAUCCGGAAUUAUUGGGCGUAAAGAGCUCGUAGGCGGUUUGUCGCGUCUGCUGUGAAAUCCCGAGGCUCAACCUCGGGCCUGCAGUGGGUACGGGCAGACUAGAGUGCGGUAGGGGAGAUUGGAAUUCCUGGUGUAGCGGUGGAAUGCGCAGAUAUCAGGAGGAACACCGAUGGCGAAGGCAGAUCUCUGGGCCGUAACUGACGCUGAGGAGCGAAAGGGUGGGGAGCAAACAGGCUUAGAUACCCUGGUAGUCCACCCCGUAAACGUUGGGAACUAGUUGUGGGGACCAUUCCACGGUUUCCGUGACGCAGCUAACGCAUUAAGUUCCCCGCCUGGGGAGUACGGCCGCAAGGCUAAA
rnacentral:rRNA from 1 species